GACGAACGCUGGCGGCGUGCUUAACACAUGCAAGUCGAACGGAAAGGCCUCUUUCGGGGGGUACUCGAGUGGCGAAAGGGUGAGUAACACGCGAGUAUAAUGCGCUUGACACUGGGAUAUAUUCAGGAAACUGGGGCUAAUACAGGAUAGGAGCUCCUGUUGCGUGGUGGGGGUUGGAAAGUUUCGGCGGUUUGGGAUGGACUCGCGGCGUAUCAGCUUGUUGGUGGGGUGGAGGCUUACCAAGGGUUUGUCAGGUAGACGGGCUGGGAGGGUGACCGGCCACAUUGGGACUUGGAUACGGCCCAGACUCCUACGGGGGGCAGCAGUUGGGAAUAUUGCACAAUGGGUGGGAGCCCGAUGCAGCAACGCCGUGUGCGGGAAGACGGCCUUCGGGUUGUAAACCGCUUUCGCUCAUGACGAAGCUUUGUGUGACGGUAGUGGGUAAAGAAGCACCGGCUAACUACGUG
rnacentral:rRNA from 1 species